UUCCCACAAGUGAUAUUCCAAUACCAACCAAACCAACAUUUCUAUUUAGCCUAAAAUAUUAGAGACAGGUCUCUAAUGAAUAAACUUGCAAGACAUGCAGUAGAUGCAGAAAAUUAGCAAAAGAUAAGAUGUAUAACUACCCCUUUGCUGCAAAUAGUCCCCUAUUAAACUGGCUUCAUGAGCUCGCAUUGCUUUCAUGAUACCUAGGACUUGGACAACAGAUAAGCAACAAUAUUUCCAUUUACUUGGCAACCACAAAAAAAUGUCAUGUGGACAAUGAAUUCAUGAAAAAGCAAAUUUGGAUGUCAUUCUAAACUUACAUUCUGAAUUCAACGUGGCCCAUGGAACCUUCUUGAGUCCAGUGAAUUGUGAUAGAGUCAUUCUAAUUUUAGUUAUGUUCUAAAUAAGCUGGUUUUUAUGUUAUUUAGGUUUUUAUUUAAGAGAAUAAUAUUUUUGUAAUUUUCAGUUUAAUGGGUUCAAAUUUUAUUGUUGGGCCUUAAAAGGAGUACAUUUAUAUGUUAGGGUCUAAUGCAUGGCUAACUUAGUUUAAAAGUAUGUUCUUAAAUUUUGAAAUGAUACUCCAAUAAUUUACUGGAGAGACCUAGCCUAUGAUCAUUAAUCCAAACACCAAUACAUGCAAAUUUACAAUCCAACUUUGUUCAGUGUUUAUUUAUCCAUACAAAUGUAGGCUUCAAAAGGCAUUUACAAGGAACUCAACUGAAUCCUAAAAGUCUCACCAAUAACCCAGGAUCUUGCUUUUAUCAAACUGACAUUCAAAAUCAAAUCAAUGGAUAGCCAAGUAAGGGUUCUGAAAUUGUUAGGAGUAAACCGAUAUAGCAGCUUCCUAAUAUCAAGAUAAUAACUUUGCCAACAAUGUAACCUUCUACAAUUGAAGUUUUGAAUUCUAAUCUUGAAGCCUCAACUAAUUCACAAUGAAAUUGAGAUUGAGCAAUGCAAAAUGUACUUCCCCACUGUCAAAAGGUACUAAAUGUCAAAAGGUACUAAACUAUCAUCGACCGUGACAAUUAACAAUCCAACUACUAAGCUAAGGCUCACAAAAACCAUUCCAAAAUAGAAAAAUUCUGCAUUACACUUCUAAGAGUGAGAUUGAAAACACAACUAGUCCCAAAUCCUAAUGGAAGGCCCAACAUCAAAUUUUUUACCCAUAGUA
rnacentral:misc_RNA from 1 species